rnacentral:rRNA from 1 species
GCUCAGGAUGAACGCUAGCGGCAGGCCUAAUACAUGCAAGUCGAACGGUAAAUAUUUAGCAAUAGAUAUGAAGUGACGUACGGGUGCGUAACAUCCGUAUGCAACCUACCCUUUACGGCGGAUAGCUCGGGGAAACCGAAUUAACCCGCCGUAAUAUAAUUGGAUGGCAUCAUUUGAUUAUUAAAUCUACGGAGGUAAAGGAUGGGCAUGCGUCUGAUUAGUUAGUUGGCGGGGUAACGGCCCACCAAGACGAUGAUCGUAGGGGAACUGAGAGGUUGAUCCCCACACUGGCACUGAGAUACGGGCCAGACUCGCUACGGGAGGCUAGCAGUAGGGAAUAUUGGUCAAUGGAUGGAAGUCUAGAACCAGCCAUGCCGCGUGCAGGAAGAAGGCCUUCUGGGUUGUAAACUGCUUUUGCCAGGGGAUAAAAUGACCUUGCGAGGUUAAUUGAAGGUACCUGUGAAUAAGCCACGCUAACUACGUGCCAGCAGCCGCGGUAAUACGU